UACGGAGGGGACUAGCGUUGUUCGGAAUUACUGGGCGUAAAGCGCACGUAGGCGGAUUUGUAAGUCAGGGUGAAAUCCCGGGGCUCAACCUCGGAACUGCCUUUGAUACUGCAAAUCUCGAGUCCGGAAGAGGUGAGUGGAAUUCCUAGUGUAGAGGUGAAAUUCGUAGAUAUUAGGAAGAACACCAGUGGCGAAGGCGGCUCACUGGUCCGGUACUGACGCUGAGGUGGCGAA
rnacentral:rRNA from 1 species